rnacentral:rRNA from 1 species
GCCUAACACAUGCAAGUCGAGGGGUAUAGUUCUUCGGAGCUAGAGACCGGCGCACGGGUGCGUAACGCGUAUGCAAUCUACCUUAUACAGGGGAAUAGCCCAGAGAAAUUUGGAUUAAUGCCCCAUAGUAUUACGAAACGGCAUCGUUUUGUGAUUAAAGUUCCAACGGUAUAAGAUGAGCAUGCGUCCCAUUAGUUAGUUGGUAAGGUAACGGCUUACCAAGGCGAUGAUGGGUAGGGGUCCUGAGAGGGAGAUCCCCCACACUGGUACUGAGACACGGACCAGACUCCUACGGGAGGCAGCAGUGAGGAAUAUUGGUCAAUGGGCGCAAGCCUGAACCAGCCAUGCCGCGUGCAGGAAGAAUCAUCUAUGGUGUGUAAACUGCUUUUAUACAGGAAGAAACCUCCCUACGAGUAGGGACUUGACGGUACUGUAGGAAUAAGGAUCGGCUAACUCCGUGCCAGCAGCCGCGGUAAUAC